rnacentral:rRNA from 1 species
UACAGAGGGUUCAAGCGAUAAUCGGAAUUACUGGGCGUAAAGCGUGCGUAGGUGGUUUGUUAAGUCAGGCGUGAAAUCCUCGGGCUCAACCUGGGAACUGCGCUUGAUACUGACUGACUCGAGUGUGGUAGAGGAUAGUGGAAUUCCCGGUGUAGCGGUGAAAUGCGUAGAUAUCGGGAGGAACAUCAGUGGCGAAGGCGGCUAUCUGGACUAACACUGACACUGAGGUACGAAAGCGUGGGUAGCAAACAGG